CUACGAUACAUCGGCUGGAGAGAAAGCUCUUUCUCUUUGUGUUAUUGCUGUUGUAACUGGGUUUUGUGGGUCACAUAUAAUCGGGCUCCCUGUGGGACAGCUCAAUUUUGCAUUGGAUUGUAAUUUGUAAAUGAAGCUUCUACUUGGCAAUAGUUUUGCGUGUAAUUUUCCUGAAAAAAUGGAUCGAGUGCGGUAGGUUGUGUUUCCCGCGCUCAAAUGGCGAUUAUAUGAAUCAAUGAAAUUACUCGAUACAGAGAAACAAACACAGCAGUAGUUUGUUAACGAAAAGAUAUAUAAAAGGUAGAAUAAAACGUGAAAGAAUAAGCUAUUGUCAAAUUGUGCAUAGUUGUACUGUUUCAACAGAUCAAUCGAUGAUUGUUUUAAUGGUGGUCAAGGGUGAACGGCGAGCUUCCUUACAUGGGGCAUAUUUGCAUUUUGUAAUGUUACAAGCGCUAAAGCGUUUCUCACUUUGCUUCACUGGCCUCGGGGGAAGUAUUUUUGUGACAAGCAUUCGUUCAAAGGCUUAGCUAGCUCUCCUUCCAUAUUAGACUGAUUGUUGCUGGUUUAACGAGGAGAUAGGUUGAUGGCAAAGGGCUCAAAGGAUCUUCAAGUUAUUUAAGCAAGGACCAGGAUUCUAAUAUAUCCCCAAUGAAUAUUUUGAAUAUAUUGCUAGUCGUUCCCUUGGGAACCGAUGUCAUGCCGCGUGUCACUUGAAGAGUACUUUCAAUGUAAGGCCCGACAAUCAGAAACAAAAGCUGAAAUAAUAAGGCUUUGGGGGGAUAGAUAGAUAAUUGCCCAAAGUCACGGAUAUGUUAUCAUACCGAUUCGCUAUAAGUUCUCGCCAUUUCAAUGGCCAAUACUAAAUAGUACCAGUGACGAAUCCCGCGUACUGAUUGGUCGAGACUUCCUCGCGCGUACUGAUUGGUCGAGAGCUCCUCGCGCGUGUCUAUAACAGAGUGCAUAGACAGGCAAACAUUUGGCCAUUUUAUAAAAGCAACGAUCAAGCGAAAAAUCCUAGAAUGCUACUAUAAACACUCAGGGAAUACGAUUUAUACCUCUUUAUAACGACCCCCUCUAAGCCUGCUGUCAGUAUGGCUUUACAGUAAAACCUCUUUAUGACGAACGCAUACAGGCCUGGCGCCCGUUUCUCGAGAAUUCUCGGGCACGAAAACUUUAUUUUGCAUUUUUGCCAAAAAUUACGCAUGUUUUCCUUUUGGAGAACCGCUUUCGUGUUUGAGAACAGUUUGAACUUCCUCUAUUCCAAAUGAUUACACUCAAUAGAGCUAUUUUCGAAGUUUUGCUGAAGCCAAAAAGUUACCCGAAAAUUUUCGGGUGAGUGCGAGGUCCCGAGAACUUUUUUAAUAUUUAAGCCAUAUGAAUUUCGGACCCGAGAAGUUCGGGAAAUAUCAAAAUCUAUAAAUUUAUAAAGAGAAUCAUCCUUUACAUGGAUCUUUGUGGUAAAUUACGAUGUUUGACGAUAUUUCAACACAUUUAGAUACCAUAAAUUUUAUAGAAAUUAGCCAGCUUUUCAAA